rnacentral:tRNA from 1 species
GCAGGCUGUGGCUCAGUGGUAGAGCACUUGCCUAGCAUGUGUGAGACACUGAGUUUGAUUCUCAGUACUGCA